CAAGCUGCUGCUCGCUAAGACUCAGAAGAUUCCCAGUCGCAAUGAAGUUGGCUCCUUCAACAGCUCCUGUAGUGCUAAAAGCCCAGCAUGACCCACAUGCUCCCUGCAUAUAUAUAUAUAUAGUCCAUUUGAGUGUAGUUAAGUAGCCGAAAAAAUUAUGAGCAAAUAAUAAUAAAUCGAAAAACAUAUGCCCAUUGCCCAGCCACCGGUAUUAGUACAGAUACUGUUUCAAUCUCAGACUUUGAAUGCUAAAAUCGAAUUUCCACUAUGACCAAUCAAGUUACUAGCUUAGGCUUUUGUUAAACUCUUGACUCAGAAUGAUUACUUAGGCAUAGGAUCGAUGCUAAUGUUCGAAUCCCAAAGACUAAGUAUUUUUUUACAAAUAAUGAAAUUGAUCAUUUAUCAAUACUAAUAAAAAAUUAAAAUACACCAAAAUACAAACAUGAUAUUGAAAAAUAAUCAUCAUAUUUCUUUUAUAAUUCUUCUUAAAAGGGUGUGGGACCAAAAUAAUUUUUUAUCCUUAUAUCUUCAUCAUAAGUUUGAGUUGGAAUUUGAAUUUUCAUGGCCAGUCAAAUAAAACUACUUGAAAAGGACUCGAUCACUUAAUAAACACUCGACUAUGCCUGGGCCAAAUAAUCACCGUAUCAUACUCAUGUCAUUGGAUAAUAAAAACAAGUCCCAUAAAUAAAAUCACUUCAUGCGAGAGAAAAAAAUAAAAAAAUAAACAAAAUUGUCCAAUGAUCAAAUGUAUAAUACCUGCAUCUUGACCUCAGUGACAGCACCUUUGUCUCUCCAAUCAAAAUUCUCAGGCAAUCCAUCAAUCUCCAUCAUCUUUACACUACUACUCUCCAAACCUCCACCGUCCAUCUCAGGGGGCCC
rnacentral:lncRNA from 1 species